ACUAAAUCCUUCUGGCUCAUUUCACUCAGUGAGGAACCUUCCUGAACAAAAAGACUAUUGGACCGGAGCCUUUGACUUUGGUUCUUUCUAAAUUGAGUUCCCUGCAAAUGUUGAAAGUGAAACCUGAUUAGAUUCAAUAAAGGAUUCAAAAGGAAUCAGAUGGUGGAUUUGGACUGAAUCAGAUGAAUCAAAUCCCAACCCUCCAUGUGAACAGAAACACCAAACUGUGUCUGAGAGUGAUGUAAUGUCCAUGUUUGCAUGCUGAAAGAGGAUGUGCUGGUCUGACCCCCCUCCUCCUUUCAGGGUGGAGCCUGCUGGAGUCCGAUGGUUGAGACCAGGUCUGAGGAAGUAUUCCUGUGAACUCACAGUCGACACAAACACAGUACACAGAGACAUCAAACUGUCUGACAACAACAGGAAGAUGACAUAUGUGAAGGAGGAUCAGUCAUAUCCUGAUCAUCCAGACAGAUUUAACUGGUGGCCUCAGAUGCUGUGUAGAACUGGUCUGACUGGUCGCUGUUACUGGGAGGUCAAGUGGAGAGGAAGAGUUUAUAUAUCAGUGAGUUACAGAAGAAUCAGAAGGAAAGGAGACAGAGACUGUUUGUUUGGAAGGAAUGAUCAUUCCUGGAGACUGAACUGCUCUGAUGGUCGUCGUUAUUCUGUCUGUCACAAUAACAGACAAACAUCCAUCUCCUCCUCCUCCUCCUCCUCCUCCUCCUCCUCGGUCUCUCACAGAGUAGCAGUGUAUGUGGACUGUCCUGCUGGCUCUCUGUCCUUCUACAGAGUCUCCUCUGACACACUGAUCCACCUCCACACCUUCAACACCACAUUCACUGAACCUCUUUAUCCUGGGUUUGGACUCUGGUCUGGUCCUGGUUCUUCAGUGUCUCUGUGUGGUCUGUAGGACGGAGAGUCUCCUCCUGUGAGACAAACAUUGUCUCUGCUGAACAGAUCAGUUGAGUGUGUCCAGGAUCACACAGCUGAUGUUAUUUCUGUCCCACACCAUGUGUCCCUGGUUAGAUUCUGGUGGGUGCAUGUCAUACCCCUCUCUCUACCCCCAUGUUUCCUGUCUGCGUCUCCUACGUGUCCGUAAAGACAAAAUGUCCAAAGAAAAAGACAGAAAAGCUUAAAUAAAAUGUGUCAUGAGCACAGAGCAUGAUGGGAUAAGUGUAAGGACAACACUAAGAAGAAGAAUAACAUGUACUUAUGUCUAGAGACACCCCACCCCUGGGGGAGGAAAGGAGAUGAAGCAGAUUCACCUUCACUAGUCUCAGUGCUGCUGUGUCAAAGGGACAGAUACAGGAAAUCUUUCCUGCCACAUGCCAUCACACUGUAUAAUAACAAACUCAGGUCAUAAUUUACAGUCACUGCGCAUUUUUCUUCACACAGUAACACAUAUUGCACAUUUCUCCUGUCUUACUUUGCACUAAAUCAAUACUGCCAAACUGCUGUAUAUACUUUUGUACAAUAUUUUAUUUACUAUUGCUAUUUUGAUAUUUUAUUAUGUAUAAAAUACAUAAUAAGUUGUUGUCUAUCGUCAGUGUAUGUAUUGCUGCUGCUACACUGCAAUUUCCCAGCUUGGGAUAAAUAAAGUAAGUUUGUCUGUCUGUUUAUCUAUAAACUCUAAAAA